rnacentral:lncRNA from 1 species
GUAUUUCUUACCAGAAAUCACAGCCUAGCUACUGACUUUUACCUGAUGUAACAUAAAUUCAUGGCUGUGCUGCUUUUAUCUUGCUGAAUAAGGAAGUAUAUUGAAAUAAUUGGGGUGAGGAAAAGUUCCCUUGUUUUCUUCUUUUAUGACCACUUUUUACUGUCCUUUGUUGUACUUUUUGGAUAUACUGCCUCGUAUUGUUUCGUUUAUGUUGUCUCUCUAAGUGGACUAUAAACUCCUAGACCGGUGAGGUUUCCUAAUUUGGACAAGCCUCUCUUCCUGCCCAACGCUGAAUAAAAUGCAACGGAUAAAGCCUUCCAGAAAUAACUAAUAGGUUAAUUAAUUAAUGAUCACUUGCUUCAAAAGAGGCCAGAGAACGGCAGAGCUGCUACGACUCGGUUCUUGGCAGAGGUCAAGUCCUGCAAGGGGUUCAGAGACUCCCAGCACUUGCAGGAGGGGAGCGGCUGCAGCUCUGGGCCACCUCAGCACCCAGGGGUGCAGAAGAACACUCAAGAUGUCACUAACCGGUUUGGAAAAGAUUUCUGAAUUCUGAGUAUGGACUCUUGAACGAGAGAAAAGACAGUGAAAUGAGAAGAAGAAAAGAGUAAUUUUGCAGAAAAGAGUGAACUAAAAGGGAUAUUGCAAAGUGACGUGACAUAAAAGAAAAAGCCUUAAACCUGGUAGAAAAAUCAUAUUAUGCACUUACUAUAGUCCAUGCAUUCUAUUAGGUCAUUUUAUAUCCAUUCACACAACAACUCUAUUUAUUCAGCUUUUAUUAUUCCCUAUUUGAAGAAAAGCAAACCAAAGUUUACUUAGUUGGCUUAAGUAACUUGCCCAAAAUCAUACAGCUAGUAAGUAUCAAAAGUGGAACUAAUAUCAGGUAUAUCCUAUUCCAGAAUCUUUCCAAUAUGACCAGAAAUCAGAAGACAUGAUUAGUGGUAUUGAUUCUAUCGUUAAAUUGUCUUGAUUUAGACAAGUCAAUUUGCCAUUCUGGAACUCAGUUUCCUUAUCUGUAAAAUUAUGUUC